AUGACGUCAUCACCUGCCCUCAUUUUUGGGGGUGACCAGGUGGUCAACAUAGAUAUUCACGAAGGGACCCUUAACUUCACCAACACUCUACUACAGUCACAAGGAUACUUGGCAGAUAAACUUUUUCUUGUAUCUUUAGGGUCACCAUUCUCCCAUAUGUUGUGGGCUGCUGCUAAUGCAGAGGUGUCCGAUGGUGAGCAUGAGCUGAGCCCGGCUUCCUUGCAUAAUCCUUGCUCCUUUGUCACCGAUGUGCAUGGAUCGACGCAAGCAAAAGAUGGGAGCCAAGGUGUUACUGGCAUUGGCGACAAGGUUGGGUUGGUACCUUCAGAGUUUGUGGCUGCUGUGGAAUCUGCAGGGCAGCAUGCGUCGGUCAAGUCUAUGGCCUUGUUCGACAAGAUGGCCACCGAGCUUAACCAAGCCACUUUGGCCUCCAAUGAGGUGUGGGGCGUUGCAAAGGGAUGCGCUUCAACAUCUGAGGGCCAAGACUCUUUACAUGUUUUCUCCGAGUUGAUCAAAGGCCUCAUUGUCGUGCCUUCAAUCACACAAGGGUUGAUCCACCUUGUCAAUGCAGCAACGAUGAAGAAUGUCAACCAACGAGUAAGCAUCGCCUCGGGCAUGGGGACCUCACGGGAUGAUGUUAGCCAUUAGUAUGUACCUUCCUCUCCGGUGCUUUUUAUUUUGGAAGUAGUCCGCAUGAUGUUUCGCGGGAUGGCUUCUGUGGCGUGCCAUCUGCGAUGUCCAAGUUGGCUUGUUGAGUCUGUGUGUGGGAUUCGACCCUCGAUGUAUCGGUUUUCGUCCGGUUUUCCUGUAAUUAACCGAGCAACUAUCUUCUUCUUAAUUAAUGAAAAGGCAAAGCCUUUGCCUCCGUUUCAAAAAAAAAGUAUUGACAGCACUUGUGUGGAAGUAAGCACUGAAAGGGUCUCCGCUGGUUGCCGCUGCAAAUGCUCAGAUGGGUUGCAAAGUGGUUGUGAAGAUAUUAAUGAAUGCCUUCAACCGAACAAAUGUAGAGAAGUCUGCCAUAAUACCAAAGGAAGCUUCAGCUGCACCGCAUGUCCUCUCAAGACCGAGUAUGAUCCAUUAAAAAUGCAGUGUACUAAGAUAAAACAACAGCCUGUACUCUUAGGUAUAAUUAUCGGGUUGUCUUGUGGUUUUGGCAUUCUACUUCUGAGCUUCAUUACAUCACUUCUCAUUCAUAGAUGGAAAAGAAAUGUUCAAAAGCAACUACGGAAGAAUUUUUUCCGUAAGAACCAAGGUCUUCUCCUAGAAACAUUGAUAUCAUCCAAUGAAACUGCAAAUGAGAAUACGAAGAUUUUCUCGCUAGAAGAGCUGGAGAAGGCAACAAACAACUUUGAUGCUACACGUAUCAUUGGCCGUGGGGGCCAUGGCAUGGUUUACAAAGGCAUAUUAUCUGAUCAGCGUGUCGUCGCAAUAAAGAAGUCUAAGAUCAUUGAGAAGUGUGAGAUCAGUCAAUUCAUCAACGAGGUCGCAGUCCUCUCUCAGAUAAAUCACAGAAAUAUUGUCAAGCUCUUUGGAUGUUGUCUCGAAACUGAGGUUCCACUGCUGGUGUAUGACUAUGUAUCCAGUGGCUCACUAUCUCAUGUUCUUCAUGCUGAUUCAACUGAUGGUUUUCCUUUGUCCUGGGGUGAUUACUUAAGGAUUGCGCUCGGAACAGCAGGAGCUCUGUCUUAUCUCCACUCUUCAGCUUCAAUACAAAUUAUCCACCGUGACGUGAAGUCCUCAAAUAUACUCUUGGAUAGGAACUACAUAACUAAAGUCUCAGAUUUUGGUGCAUCCAGAUUGGUUCCGUUAGAUCAAACACACAUUGUCACGAAUGUGCAAGGUACAUUUGGGUACUUAGAUCCAGAGUAUUUCCAUACCAGGCAGCUGAACGGGAAGAGCGACGUCUACAGUUUUGAUGUGGUACUAGUGGAGUUGCUUCUGAGAAUGAAGCUUGUUUUCACAAGUGAAUCAGGCACAGUCAAGAGCUUGUCAAACUAUUUUCUGCAGGAGUUCAACGAGGGGAGAAUCAGAGGUAUUGUUAAUUCUCAGGUCCUUGAGGAGGCAACUGAGGAAGAGGUCAACAGUGUCGCCUCUUUGGCAGAGCGGUGCUUGAGGCUGCAUGGUGAAGAAAUACCCACCAUGAAACAAGUGGAGACGGAACUGCAGACUUUACGAACAAAUUAUGUGAACUCACAUCAAGCAGACACAAGAAAUGAUGAGCAAAUACAACCAAGUACAGUAACUCGAAGAUGUAGAGCUGCUCGUCAAUCUUCUGCGAUGGGAUUGGGCGAGAGAGCUAACAUACGGUCAGGAGGCUGUUAUAGCUUGGAGGAAGAGUUCAUGGCAUCUGCUAGCCUUCCACGCUAG
rnacentral:rRNA from 1 species